GGCGAACGGCUGAGUAACGCGUGAGAAUCUACCUAAGAAUGGGGAAUAACUGUUGGAAACGACAGCUAAUACCGCAUAAUCCCUUCGGGGCAAAGGCUUCGGCCGUUUUUAGAUGAGCCCGCGUUAGAUUAGGCUGUUGGUGAGGUAACGGCUCACCAAACCUGCAAUCUAUAGCUGGUCUGAGAGGAUGAUCAGCCACACUGGGACUGAGACACGGCCCAGACUCCUACGGGAGGCAGCAGUGGGGAAUAUUGGACAAUGGGGGAAACCCUGAUCCAGUAAUGCCGCGUGAGUGAUGAAGGCCUUAGGGUUGUAAAACUCUUUCAGAAGUGAAGAUGAUGACGGUAACUUCAGAAGAAGCUCCGGCUAACUCCGUGACAGCAGCCGCGGUAAUACGGAGGGAGCUAGCGUUGUUCGGAAUUACUGGGCGUAAAGGGCGUGUAGGCUGUUAGGUAAGUCAGAGGUGAAAUCCCUAAGCUCAACUUAGGAACUGCCUUUGAUACUAUCUUACUAGAGAUCGAGAGAAGUUGGCGGAAUUCCAAGUGUAGAGGUGAAAUUCGUAGAUAUUUGGAAGAACACCAGUGGCGAAAGCGGCCAACUGGCUCGUAUCUGACGCUGAGACGCGAAAGCGUGGGUAGCAAACAGGAUUAGAUACCCUGGUAGUCCGCGCCGUAAACGAUGUGUGCUAGCCGUUUGUGAUUUAUCACAAGUGGUGCAGCUAACGCGUUUAGCACAC
rnacentral:rRNA from 1 species